AAGAUCAUACUUUUCAGGAUCAUUUCUGUAGUAUGAAUAAUCUUUUGAAGUCGUAGACUUCUGCGCACCAAAACCAUGAUGACGAUUCAUGACAUCUGCGCCUGAGCGUGAGGCAGGCUAUCGUUGAUCUUGUUUAAGGAUCGACUUUAGUCAUCGAUGACCGUUCACCACGGGAGCUCGUCUCUUGUGGGAGGGUGUGGAUGUGAUCUGAGUGGG
rnacentral:snoRNA from 16 species